rnacentral:rRNA from 1 species
AUGCGGAGGGGGCUAGCGUUGUUCGGAAUUACUGGGCGUAAAGCGCACGUAGGCGGAUUAAAAAGUUAGAGGUGAAAUCCCAGGGCUUAACCCUGGAACUGCCUUUAAAACUAGUAGUCUAGAGUUCGUGAGAGGUGAGUGGAAUUCCAAGUGUAGAGGUGAAAUUCGUAGAUAUUUGGAGGAACACCAGUGGCGAAGGCGGCUCACUGGCUCGAUACUGACGCUGAGGUGCGAAAGCGUGGGGAGCAAACAGAAUUAGAAACCCCAGUAGUCC